rnacentral:lncRNA from 1 species
UUUUUUUUUUUUUUUGUCUUUUUUUUUUUUGUCUUUUGUUGUUGUUGUUUCUAUUUCUUGGGCCGCUCCCGCGGCAUAUGGAGGUUCCCAGCCUAGGGGUCGAAUCGGAGCCGUAGCCACCGGCCUACGCCAGAGCCACAGCAACACAGGAUCCGAGCCACGUCUGCAACCUACACCACAGCUCAUGGCAACGCCGGAUCGUUAACCCACUGAGCAAGGGCAGGGACCGAACCCGCAACCUCAUGGUUCCUAGUCGGAUUCGUUAACCACUGCGCCACGACGGGAACUCCUCUGUGAGCUCUAAUUUGGACAAUAAUUUCCUAAGAUAAAGGCGAGUGUGUACAAUGCUUAGCACAAGGGCAGACUUGUCACAAGUACUCGAAAGAAUACACUUAGGUCUAUUGAAAUAAUUUUUAAAUAUGACUUCAAAGAUUUUAGUAAACGGUAAAUUCUGUAAGUUGAUCGUUCUCUCCUCUGAUCCUUUGGCAAACAGGCUUUCAGUGAAGUGGCUUAGGACCCAUGAUUUGGUAGAUUGGCCUGCUUCUUUCUCCUCCAGCAGCAAUGUACCUCCAUUACAGCUCAUGCUAUAUUUUAUCUGUGCCUCUGUUAGUGGUCAACUUGGCAAUAAGGGCUUCUUUUUUUCCAUUUACAGCCCUUAGCACAAUGACUGACACAAACUGGGUGGUGGGGAGUAAAUGUUUACUGAAUGAAUCCAUUUGACUCCAUGCUCGUUAUAUUAUUUAGCAGAUAUCAGGUAUCAUCUAAAUGGGCACACCACACCCACAUUUAAAGGGUCUUGAAAGCAAGAGACUUUCCACUUGAUAAACCAUACAUUUUAUUCCUUUGCUUGGGUGGUGUGCUAAGUGCGCUGUUUUCCAGCCUGCCCAGCCACUGUGAAACUUAGUUUGUCCUAAGUCUAAUUGCUCCAGAGUUCUUUGUCAGCAAAUGCUAGGGGUAGCAUUUUCAGGUCUUUUGCUUUUAGAGAAGGAACAUGUUGGAAAUAAGCCCAAGAGUUGACUGAAAGAAAAAGUGCUUUUGCUUUUCUGAGGUUGCUUUGUUUUUCUAUAAAAGUCACAAUUGCAAGUAUGAGAAAAUAACUGCAUAACAAGGUGAAUGUUGCCAAAUAACAUGAAAUUCGGGCACAUGAGAGAGGCAGAAUGGGCCAGUGGGAUGACUCCAUGAGCUGGAGUCACAAGAUUGACGUUCACUUCCCAACUUUCCCAAGCUCUUCCUCUCUCACCUUGGGAAAUUUCCCUGGGAUCUGAGCUUCAGUUUCUGCAUCUGUAAAUUCAAGAGGAUGCACAUUCCUGACCUACGGGCUUCUUGGAGUUGUUUUUAGGAUCAAGUGAGGUAACAGACAUGGGAGAGUUGGCAGCUUUAAAACACUGUGCAAAUAUUAUCACAAGGGGGGCUGUGAGUGAGGAAUGGCUAGAGGAAGGCCUGAAGAGGGGAAGCAAAGUAUUGACCUGAAAACCAAAAAAGAGUGUUUUCUGGUCUGAUAGAAAGGAGCUUUGUAUCUGUCAUUAUUUAGUUAAGUACUCAAAAUCUGGACAAGGCUUCAGGAAAUCUGAUUUAUAUUCCUGGCCCUUGCAUCAGUUGAAGGACUUCAGUAAACAACUCUGCAAAUAAACGGUGGACCAGAUUUCUUCUUCCUCUGAUUUCUGUGACUCUUAUUUUUGGAUAAACAGUUAUCUUUUGAAGGGAAAAACAAUUUAAAGACUUGCCUAUGUACCCCUUUAGCUACCAUUUCUGGUCUCUUCAUUCCUUUUGUAAAUUGAUAUUUCCAACUGUUAUCAUUUUUCGUUGGCCCAAGUGUGUGAACUAUUUUUUUUUUUUUUUUUUUUUUGCAGUGUGGUUCUGUGGCUGAUGGAUUCUUUUGGCUUUUGUGUGUCUGAAAAUGUCUUUAAUUUACCUUUGUUUCCAAAAGAUAUUUUCCCAGGGUAUGGAAUGCUAGGUUGUCAGGUUUUUGUUUUUGUUUUUCAUUCAGUACUUUAAAGACAUUAUUGCACUUUUGGUACACAAUGUUUCCACUGAGAAUUUUGCUGUCUUCAAGUUUUGUUCUUCUGUAUAGAAAUUCUCUUUUCUUUUUUUUUUUCCUUCGGGUGAUUAAAAGCUUUUCUCUAUCACUUAUUUUGACAAUGUGUUUAUGAUGUUCCUUGACUGUAUAUUUUUAUUUGUACAUUUUUUACAUUAUGUACAUUUUAAAUGUAGUGUGUAUGUGUGUGUGUAUUUCUUGUGGCUGAGGUUCUUUGGCCUUGAAUCGGGAUUUAUAGGUUUCAUCAAGUUUGGAGAUUUUUUUCAGCCAUUAUUCUUCAAGUAUUUCUUCCAGCCUUCUCCUCUCUCUCCUUUGGGGAUCAUGUCUGGCUGGAAAGAAAAGAAUAAACUUGCUAUAAUGAGGUGCUUUGAGAUAAGCCUUGAGAAUUGGACAGAUUUGAGCAGAUAAAGAUUUAUAAAGGGAUCAAGAAAGGAAAGACACAAAAACUUCAUGCUUCUGUAACUGGGAGAAUACCAGAACCACUAGCAGAAAUGAAUAAAGAAGAGGGCUUUCAUUAAAGAAGAGGAUGUGUUCAUUGCUUGAUGUGCUUGAGCUUGAAGUGCUUUUGUGACCUUUGAUUAGAGAGUAACAGGCUGGGUUAUUCAUGGUGGCCAACUGCCCAGGAGCAGAAUUGGGCCAAAAGGCAGAUCUGGGAAUUACCACUAGUAGAAGGAUGGUAGCUAAAACCACACCAGAUGAAUUCCUGACAUAGAUGGUACACAAAGUACCAAAAAAGGCCUGGUCAUUCAGACUUUCCACUUAUAGCAAUUUAUUCUAAGGGAAGAACAGUAAUUUACAAUGAUUCACAGAGAUUCACUCAAGUGCUGUUUAUAAUUUAAAAACAAGUAGAAACUAAAUACCCCACAAUGGAGAAUUGGUUAAAUAUAUGGAACAUACCAUGGAAUACAGUAUAGCCAUGAAAAAAGAUUAGAAGAAUAAUUACAACAAAAUUGUUGACAAUUCAUUAAGUACAGAAAGCAAGUUACAGGACACAAUAUACAGUGUGACCUCAUUUUAUAUAAAUAUAUUUUGUCUUCAGGGCCACACCCAGGGCAUAUGGAGAUUCCCAGGCUAGGGGUUGAACAGGAGUUGCAGCUGCUGACCUAUGCCACAGCCACAGUAAUACCAGAUCCAAGCCGCAUCUGCCACCUACACCACAGCUCAUGGUAACCUGGAUCCUUAACCCACUGAGCGAGGCAGGGAUGGAACCUGCAUCCUCAUGGAUACUGGUUGGGGUCGUUAACUGCUGAGCCACAACGGGAACUCUGUGUCCUCAUUUUAUUUUAUUAUUUUUAUAUUUUUUUAUUCUGAAAUUUUUAUUUUUUACAGAAUAAAAUACAUACAUUUAAACACAAUUACAUUCACACAGAUUAUUAUAUCAUGGAUCUUAAGAAACAGAUUAAGUGACUCCCUCUGGAGAAGUGGAAUGGAAAAUAUGCUGAGACAAAUAGGAAAUUUAUUCUAUACUUUAUCCCAUUUUGUAUGGCUUUCAUCCUUACUAUUUAGUAUUAUCUAUUACAUUUCAAUUUUUCUUUAAAAAUUAGCAUUAUUAAAAUUGUUAUAUUAUGCAACUAAAAUUUAUAAAGAAAGCCUUACAUACCAUUAAAUAUUUUAUACAGCAUAAUAAAAAGAAUAACUGGUAAGAAUACAAAAAUAAUAUAUCCUCUGAAAAUAAGUAAAAUAUAAAAUGCAUAAAUUGGUUAAAAAACAGUGUAACUAUACAAAUAUGUCCUCGCAAUUUGUUACAUUUUAUUGAUUCUUCAAUAUAGGCAUUACACCAUUCUAGGUGCUGUGAUAAACAAGACAUUAUAGACCUUACAUUGUACCAUGGAGAGAAAUGGUUAUUAAUAAUACAAUUGCAGAACUGUAUUAUUAAAUUGUACAGUUGCAUUAUUUAAUUAUAAUUAUCAUAAAUUCUUUGAUGGAGAAGAAAUCAGAAUCAGAUGUAAGAAGACUUCAGCAUUCCAAGAAUGAUGCCAAAUGACCCCCUUUAUGGUGGAUUAUGCACUUAUUUACUAUGAGAUAUAUUUCUUCUCCAGAGAUUCCUUGUUUGUGUAUCAAUUGUAUUUUUGGUUUGCAGUUAUUCUGAAGUUUUGAUGUAAAAGUCUAUAUGUAUAUGAGAUUGUUUUAAGUUGUUGUUCUCUUAAUUGCAAGUUCAUCUCCAGUGUCCUGCAUUUGUACCCACCUCUUCUCAUGAUUUCUGAUUUUGGUGGUAUAAUCAUGCAUGGAUGAUUUCAUAUCUUUACUGUAUAUAUACCUCUACUGGUGAGCCUUGUCAUUUGUGGAAUUUUUGUUUCCUGUUGCUGUCUUGUCUUUUCUGCCUAGAGAAGUUCCUUUCGUAUUUGUUGUAGGCUGGUUUAGUGUUGCUGAAUUCUCUCAACUUUUGCUCAUCUGUGAAGGUUUUGAUUUCUCCUUCAAAUCUGAAUGAGAGCCUUGCUGGGUAGAGUAAUCUUGGUUGGAGGUUUUUUUCCUUUCAUCACGUUAAGUAUAUCAUGCCACUCCCUUCUGGCCUGCAGAGUUUCUGCUGAAAAAUCUGCCAGUAACCUUAUUGGGGUUCCCUUGUAUGUUACAUGUUUCUUUUCCUAGCUGCUUGCAAGAUUUUCUCUUUGUCUUUAAUUUUGGUCAGUUUGAUUAAUAUGUGUCUUGGUGUAUUCCUCCUUGGGUUUAUUGUAUGUGGUACUCGUUGUGCUUCCCGGAUUUGAGUGAGUGGUUCCUUUCCCAUGUGAGGGAAGUUUUUGGCUAUUAUCUCUUGGAAUAUUUUUUCUGCCCCCUUCUCUCUCUCUCCUCCUUCUGGCACCCCUAUCAUAUGGAUGUUGUUGCGUUGUCCCAGAGUUCCCUGAGACUCUCUUCAGUUGUUUUCAAUCUUUUUUCUCUCUUCUGUUCUGCAUCCAUAAUUUCCACUAAUCUGUCCUCCACCUCGCUUAUUCGUUCUUCUGCAUCCUGUAUUCUGCUGUUAGCUGCUUCUAGUGAGUUUUUUAUUUCAGUUAUUGUAUUUUGCAUCUCUUCUUGUUUAAGUUUGAUAUCUUGUAUCUCUUUGGUCAGUGUUUCCUGUAAGUUAUCCAUCUUUGCCUCCAGUUUAUUUCCAAUGUCUUGCAUCAUCUUCAGCAUCAACAAUCUAAAGUCUUUUUCCUGGAGGCUAAGAAUCUCCUCAUGGCUUAGCUGUUUUUCUGGGGUUUUUCCUUUCUCCCUCAUCUGAGUUAUGGUUCUCUGUCUUUUCAUUUUUACAGGUUUUUGGUGUGGUGACCUUUUUACAGAUAAUAGAGUAGUAGCCUUUCCUACUUCUGGUGUCUGCCCCCCUUGUGGCUGAAGUUGGUAUGGGGGCUUGGUGUAGGCUUCCUGAUGGGAGGGGCUGAUGCCUGCCCCCUGGUAGGUGGAGCUGAUUCUAAUCCCUCUGGUGGGUGGGGCUUAGUCUCUGGAUGGGAUUAGAGGCAGCUGUGUGCCUGAGGGGUCUUUAGGCAGCCUGUUUACUAAGGGGCGGGGCUGUGAUCCCACCUGGAUUGUUAUUUGCCCUGGGGCUUCUCAGUACUAUUGGGUGGGGCCAUAUUUUCCCAAAAUGGCCACAUCCAGAGAAAGGCAGCUGCUGAAUAUUCCCAAGAGCUUUGCCUUCAAUGUCUUUUCCUCACAACAAGCCACGUUCACCCCUGUUUUGUCAGGAUGUCCUCCAAGAACUGCAGUCAGCUUUGACCCAGAUUCCCAUGGAGACCUCGCUCUGUCCUGGGACCCAGUGCCGUGAACGUCUGUGUGCGCCUUUUAAGAAUGGGGUCUCCGUUUCCCUCAAUCCUGUGGACAAGCCCCACUGGCCUUCAAUGCCAGAUGCUCCAGGGGCUCUUUCUCCCAGUGCAAGAUCCCCGCAUGUGAGGGUUUGAUAUGGGGCUCAGAACUCUCACUUCUGUAGGUGAGUCUCUGUGAACCAGUUAGUUUUCAGUCUGUGGAGCUUCCUACCCAGGAGGUAUGGGGUUGUUUAUAUUGUGAAAUUGCCCCUCCUACCUCUUGAUGUGGCCUCCUCUUUUUCUUCUGGAGUAGGGUAUCUUUUUUAAGGUUUCCAGUCCAUUUGGGUGAAGAGUGCUCCGUCAUUAGUUGUGAAUUUUGUUGUUUUUAGGAGAGAAGUUGAGCUCCAGUCCUUCUAUUCAGCCAUCUUCUCAUUUUAAAUAAAAUAUAUGAAUAUAUAAGCAAUGAAGAGGAUAACACCACAUAGUGUUGUGUUGGUAGUGUUGUGGGUGGUUUAUUUUUUUAUUUUUGCUUACCCACAUUUUCUAAAUUCUCUAGAGUAAUUCAUAUUAAUUUUACAAUAAGGAAAAAAAUCUAUUCUAAUUUUUCAGAAGCUGACCUAGAAAAAGGCCUGUGGAUUUCCAGAAUGUAUAGAGUGUGGAGGGCAGAAAGGAAGUGGCAGAGGAAAGAGACACUUGGUGCAGAGUCAGGGUUACACAUUGGCCUGGGUCCCCAUUCAGGCCUGUGGCCGAGACCUCAGAACCAAGACAUUGCAGAUUCCCUCAGCGGCUGCCCCGGACAUUGUUAAAUGCAGAUUCCUGGGUGAUUCCCAAACCCUUUGAACCAGAAUAUCUGGGGUGGGGGCCCAGGACUCUGCCUUUAAAAGCCUCCCAGGCGAUUCUUACGCAUGUGUUAGGGUAUGUAUGCAACAGGCCUGCUUCUCUAGCUUUCCAGUGCAAGAGGACUGAACCUGGGAGUUGGUGUAAAUAGCAUGACUGGGCAUUUUUGUCACAAAUCAGUUAAGUCCAGAAUGGAGAGGAAAUAUCUCUUGGAGUCCAGCUGACACCGCACCCCUGCAUGUGUGCUGGGAGUCUUUUGAAGCUGGGCAGCAGCAUCCGAACAGAAGGAAGGGUUUGGCUCCUGGCAGUGAUAACCUGUUGGAUGAGAUUUCAGUGACUUUCCCAAGGGGACUGAGCAAAGAACCCAUGCAGCUCCCCUACUGAUGGGACACCAAGCGGCAAGAAUAUGUCCCUAAGGCCUUCUCCCUCGGGAGCGAAAAGCCGAAGCCGUUAGAAAGUGGCUGGAUCUCCCCAGCCAGGGGCCUCUUGACGAGAGACUCAUCUGAAUUCAGGGACCAAAAGGUUCUUAUGGAAUCAAGAAAGGAAACCUCAGGGGGUAGCCAUCAUCCCAUUAUAAAAGAUGUAUAGGGUUCCAAUCAUGGCUUGGCGGUAAUGAACCAGACUAACAUCCAUGAACAUGAGGAUUUGAUCCCUGGCCUAAGUGGGCUAAGGAUCUGGUGUUGCCAUGAGCUGUGAUGUAGGCUGCAGACUCUGCUCAGACCUUGCAUUGCUGUGGGUGUAGCAUAGGCCAGCAGCUACAGCUCCGAUUGGACCCCUAGCCUGGGAAUUUUCCAUAUGCUGC